GGUGUCAUUGGUUUUAUUUUGAUGCGUAGAUUCUAUAUUUGAUAGUUUUAGUAGAGUUCAGGAUCGUUCGUGAGGAUUAGGGCUUUGGGAUCAAAUACUUGGUUGUGGUGCUUCGACAUUGAGGUAGGUUAUGGCAUAACUCAUUCAGACUGGGGUAGGAAGAAAAUGAUGAUACAAAAUGCAUAUAAAGGUGAGAGAUAAUCAUAAAAAAUGGCUAUCUAUAUGUUGUGCUCGUGUGGGGGCUUAUAUGUGAUAUAAUUAUCUAAAUUAAGAUAUUAUGUGAUGUGUAUGACCAUGUGGGGUCCUAUGUGUUGUUGAUCGCCUUGAAUACAUGUGAAUAGUUAUAUUGUGUUGUUCAAAUACCUAAUAUGGUACCAUUGGUCUAUUGUGAUAUAUUCAUACUUGUUGGUAUAUGAGACAUGUGAAAAUUCAUGGAUGAAAUAGAAAUAAUGUGUGG
rnacentral:lncRNA from 1 species